CUGAGCCCCAUCCUCGUCGUCGUCGAGUGGCUAACGGGGGUAACUCACCUCCCGUUCAGGACACCCUGAAGACACCAGGAGCAGCACAAUCGAGACGUAGAAGAUUGAAUGUUCCCGCAUUGCGUGACUGGGACAGGCGUGCUCUUGCUGAUGAAUUAAUUACAGAGGCUUUGCUGUUCAUGAAUCGGAUCCCUGCCAGAGGCCAGGUUCUUAUCAGAAGCGGUAGUGGAAGAAGAAUUCCGACACGCCAUCUGGAUCGGAUUAAUAAAGUGAGAGCUACAACGUUUCUUGAAGCAAGCCAGAUUCUGAUACGUCUGUUUCCCACAAUGUUGAGGUGAACGGUGAAAUGAGCUUUUGAAUCUCUGUGGGUGUUCUUUUUUUUUUUUCUUGCUGUCUA